GGAGGGGCCCAGGGCCAAGCCGGGGCGUGGGAAGUACCUGGCAUUGCCAGAUCUAGGAGUUGGGAAACAGCUGCGUGACUUCAUCUCAGUAACUGCUCUGCAAGAUCGUCCCUGCUGCGCAGAUACGGACACGGAGGCAGGGCUGGCUGGUCGGGUUUGAUACUUAUCUAAGGAGUGGGGUGGACAGGCUGUAGACUGUUGGAAGCUGGCAAUAACCCGCUCCUUAGAAUUUCAUAGCAUAGCUGGGCAUGGUGGCGCACACCUGUAAUCCCCGCGGCUGGGGAGGCUGAGACAGGAGAAUUGCAGGUUCAAAGCCAGCCUCAGCAUUGGCAGUUAACAACUCAGUGAGACCCUGUCUCUAAAUAAAAUACAAAAUAGGGCUGGAGAUAUGGCUCAGUGACAGAGUGUCCCUGAGUUCAAUCCCCAAUACUCCCCCA
rnacentral:lncRNA from 1 species